rnacentral:rRNA from 1 species
UACAGAGGUCUCAAGCGUUGUUCGGAUUCAUUGGGCGUAAAGAGCUCGUAGGCGGUUCCGUAAGUCGGAUGUGAAAACUCGGGGCUCAACCCCGAGACGCCAUCCGAUACUGCGGUGACUUGAGUCUGGUAGGGGAACACGGAAUUCCUGGUGUAGCGGUGAAAUGCGCAGAUAUCAGGAGGAACACCGAUGGCGAAGGCAGUGUUCUGGGCCAGUACUGACGCUGAGGAGCGAAAGCGUGGGGAGCAAACAGG